UUGGAGGGCAAGUCUGGUGCCGGAAGCGAAAUUUAUCCGGGCCUUGCUGUAUUUCGACCUGGUGCGGUUGUACGGCCCCGUCCCCCUGGUGGUGCAUGAUCCUGGUACGGUGGCUGCUGCGGGCGCGCUGGUAAGCCGUACACCCAAAGAUUCGGUGUAUGCGCAGAUCAUUGCCGAUCUGAUUGCUGCUACGGCGUUGCCCGCCAGUUAUUCCGGUGUCAAUGUCGGCCGGGUUACCAGUGGGGCGGCUCAUGCUUUGCUGGCGAAAGUGUAUGUGACGAGACAGGAUUGGGGUAAUGCUAUUGCGGAGCUGAGAAAAGUAGUGACGGCAGGGACGGCGGGUUUGACCGAUGCGACGACCGGCGCCUUACGGGAAA
rnacentral:rRNA from 1 species